UACAGAGGUGGCAAGCGUUGUUCGGAAUUACUGGGCGUAAAGGGCGCGUAGGCGGCCUUCUAAGUCAGACGUGAAAUCCCCAGGCUUAACUUGGGAACUGCGUCUGAUACUGGAAGGCUUGAGUGCGGGAGAGGGAUGUGGAAUUCCAGGUGUAGCAGUGAAAUGCGUAGAGAUGUGGAGGAACACCAGUGGCGAAGGCGACUACCUGGCCUGUUCUUGACGCUGAGGCGCGAAAGCUAGGGGAGCAAACGGG
rnacentral:rRNA from 1 species